GACUGGGUCCCGUGCGAUUUGCCGGUGUGAACCUUGUCAGGGCAGGAAUGCAGCAGCAAUAAGCAUCAGGCGGAUGUGCUGCGGGGUUGCCCAGUCUGA
rnacentral:SRP_RNA from 1 species